UGCGCAGGCGGAAUAUUAAGUCAGUGGUGAAAGCCUACAGCUCAACUGUAGAACUGCCAUUGAAACUGAUAUUCUUGAGUAUAGUUGUAGUGGGCGGAAUAUAUCAUGUAGCGGUGAAAUGCUUAGAUAUGAUAUAGAACACCGAUCGCGAAGGCAGCUCACUAAACUAUAACUGACGCUCAGGCACGAAAGCGUGGGGAGCAAACAGGAUUAGAUACCCUGGUAGUCC
rnacentral:rRNA from 1 species